UUGAUUCAUUUUCGAAACGCCCGCUAGGGGCGCCGAGAUGGUUCAGAAUAAUAAAAGUCCGCGAGGGGACAUACAAAAGAGUUUUGGUUGGUCCUCCGGCGGGCGCCUGGUUCCGGGGCUGCGACGCGCCCGGGGCAUGAAAUUUUCCCGCCGAGGCAACAGUUUGGUAACGUUCACAUAGGGGUUUGGGAGUUGUAAACUCGGUAAUGAUCCCUCCGCUGGUUCACCAACGGAGA
rnacentral:misc_RNA from 1 species